AUCGGCAAGGAGGGGCCACCAUCCGCAACAUCACCAAACAAACCCAGAGCAAAAUCGACGUCCAUCGCAAAGAGAAUGCCGCGCAGCCGAGAAGCCAAUCAGCAUCCACUCCACCCCUGAGGGCUGCUCCUCUGCCUGCCGUUUGAUCCUGGACAUCAUGGAACAGGAGGCUAAGGACACCAAACUGCUGAAGAAGUACCCCUGAAGAUCCUGGCUCACAAUAAUUUUUGUAGGCCGACUGAUCGGCAAGGAGGGGCGCAACUGAAGAAAGUGGAGCAGGACACCGACACCAAGAUCACAAUCUCCCCACUCCAGGACCUGACUGUGUACAACCCAGAGAGGACCAUCACAGUGAAGGACCCAUCGAGGCCUGUUGUCUGGCCGAGACAGAGAUCAUGA